AGAGCGAACGCUGGCGGCAGGCUUAACACAUGCAAGUCGAGCGGAUGUAGCAAUACAUCAGCGGCAGACGGGAUAGUAACACGUGGGAACGCGCCCUUUGGUUCGGAAUAACUCAGGGAAACUUGAGCUAAUACCGGAUAAGCCCUUACGGGGAAAGAUUUAUCGCCAUUGGAACGGCCCGCGUCCGAUUAGCUAGUUGGUGAGGUAAUGGCUCACCAAGGCGACGAUCGGUAGCUGGUCUGAGAGGAUGACCAGCAUCACUGGGACUGAGACACGGCCCAGACUCCUACGGGAGGCAGCAGUGGGGAAUAUUGGACAAUGGGCGCAAGCCUGAUCCAGCCAUGCCGCGUGGAUGAUGAAGGCCCUAGGGUUGUAAAGUCCUUUUAACGGGGAAGAUAAUGACGGUACCCGUAGAAUAAGCCCGGACUAACUUCGCGCCAGCAGCCGC
rnacentral:rRNA from 1 species